rnacentral:tRNA from 1 species
GGAGGGGUCGGAUAAUUGGUUAUUCCACCGGUCUUGAAAACCGGACCCGAAAGGGUUUGUGGGUUCGAGUCCCACCCCCUCCG